GAAAUGCGAUAAGUAAUGUGAAUUGCAGAAUUCAGGGAAUCAUCGAAUCUUUGAACGCACAUUGCGCCCGCCAGUAUUCUGGCGGGCAUGCCUGUCCGAGCGUCAUUUCAACCAUCAAGCCCCCGGGCUUGUGUUGGGGACCUGCGGCUGCCCGCAGGCCCUGAAAACCAGUGGCGGGCUCGCUGUCACACCGAGCGUAGUAGCAAUCACCUCGCUCAGGGCGUGCUGCGGGUUCCGGCCGUUAAACAGCCUUACAAAACCCAAGGUUGACCUCGGAUCAGGUAGGAAGACCCGCUGAACUUAAGC
rnacentral:misc_RNA from 1 species